UGCAAAGGUUUCCUUGGGCUAAUGGACAUUGGUCCUCAAGUACAAAGGCAGAAAGGAGCUUGACUGCAAGACUCAUCUGUCGAGCAAAGACGAAAGUCGGCCUUGGUGAUCCGACGAUGCUGAGUGGAAAGGCCGUCGCUCAA
rfam:Oryza rufipogon genomic scaffold, chr03